ACCUUGGUGGUGCAGUGGUGACACGUGUCCCCGGUUUGGAUGAAACGCGGGUUCGACUCCCGCUAGGUU